CCCUUAGAUGUUCUGGGCUGCACGCGCGCUACACUGAUGCAUUCAACGAGCCUAUCCUUGACCGACAGGUCCGGGUAAUCUUUGAAUCUGCAUCGUGACGGGGAUAGAUUAUUGCAAUUAUUAAUCUUCAACGAGGAAUGCCUAGUAGGCGCAAGUCAUCAGCUUGCGUCGAUUACGUCCCUACCCUUUGUACACACCGCCCGUCGCUCCUACCGAUUGGGUGUGCUGGUGAAAUGUUCGGAUCGGCCGUUUGUCGCGGUUUCCGCGUCAUGUGGCUGAGAAGUUCAUUAAACCCUCCCACCUAGAGGAAGGAGAAGUCGUAACA
rnacentral:rRNA from 1 species